CCGCGUGAGUGAAGAAGGCCUUCGGGUUGUAAAGCUCUUUCAGUUAGAAAAGAAAAAGCCGUGACUAAUAAUCAUGGUUCAUGACGGUAUCAACAGAAGAAGCACCGGCUAACUACGUGCCAGCAGCCGCGGUAAUACGUAGGGGUGCAAGCGUUAAUCGGAAUUACUGGGCGUAAAGGGUGCGCAGGCGGUUCUGUAAGUCAGAUGUGAAAUCCCCGGGCUUAACCUGGGAACUGCGUUUGAAACUGCAGAGCUAGAGUGCGGCAGAGGGAGGUGGAAUUCCAUGUGUAGCAGUGAAAUGCGUAGAGAUAUGGAAGAACAUCGAUGGCGAAGGCAACCUCCUGGGCUAGCACUGACGCUCAUGCACGAAAGCGUGGGGAGCAAACAGGAUUAGAUACCCUGGUAGUCCACGCCCUAAACUAUGUCAACUAGUUGUCGGGCCUUAAUAGGCUUGGUAACGUAGCUAACGCGUGAAGUUGACCGCCUGGGGAGUACGGUCGCAAGAUUAAAACUCAAAGGAAUUGACGGG
rnacentral:rRNA from 1 species